UCUAAGCGGGAAGCCUACCUCAAGAUAAGAUUUCCCUAGGACUUUAUGUUCUCUAAAGAGCCGUUCGAGACUAGGACGUUGAUAGGWUGGAUGUGGAAGCAUAGUGAUAUGUGAAGCUGACCAAUACUAAUUGCUCGUGAGGCUUGACUAUACAACACCCAAGCAGUUG
rnacentral:rRNA from 1 species